rnacentral:rRNA from 1 species
ACGUAGGUCACAAGCGUUGUCCGGAAUUACUGGGUGUAAAGGGAGCGCAGGCGGGAGAACAAGUUGGAAGUGAAAUCCAUGGGCUCAACCCAUGAACUGCUUUCAAAACUGUUUUUCUUGAGUAGUGCAGAGGUAGGCGGAAUUCCCGGUGUAGCGGUGGAAUGCGUAGAUAUCGGGAGGAACACCAGUGGCGAAGGCGGCCUACUGGGCACUAACUGACGCUGAGGCUCGAAAGUGUGGGUAGCAAACAG